rnacentral:rRNA from 2 species
GAUGUUGGCUUAGAAGCAGCCAUCAUUUAAAGAAAGCGUAAUAGCUCACUGGUCGAGUCGGCCUGCGCGGAAGAUGUAACGGGGCUAAACCAUGCACCGAAGCUGCGGCAGCGACACUGUGUGUUGUUGGGUAGGGGAGCGUUCUGUAAGCCUGUGAAGGUGUGUCGUGAGGCAUGCUGGAGGUAUCAGAAGUGCGAAUGCUGACAUAAGUAACGAUAAAGCGGGUGAAAAGCCCGCUCGCCGGAAGACCAAGGGUUCCUGUCCAACGUUAAUCGGGGCAGGGUGAGUCGACCCCUAAGGCGAGGCCGAAAGGCGUAGUCGAUGGGAAACGGGUUAAUAUUCCCGUACUUGGUGUUACUGCGAAGGGGGGACGGAGAAGGCUAUGUUGGCCGGGCGACGGUUGUCCCGGUUUAAGCGUGUAGGUGUGUGUUCCAGGUAAAUCCGGUUCACUUUAACACUGAGGCGUGACGACGAGGCACUACGGUGCUGAAGCAACAAAUGCCCUGCUUCCAGGAAAAGCCUCUAAGCAUCAGGUAACAUCAAAUCGUACCCCAAACCGACACAGGUGGUCAGGUAGAGAAUACCAAGGCGCUUGAGAGAACUCGGGUGAAGGAACUAGGCAAAAUGGUGCCGUAACUUCGGGAGAAGGCACGCUGACACGUAGGUGAAGUGAUUUACUCAUGGAGCUGAAGUCAGUCGAAGAUACCAGCUGGCUGCAACUGUUUAUUAAAAACACAGCACUGUGCAAACACGAAAGUGGACGUAUACGGUGUGACGCCUGCCCGGUGCCGGAAGGUUAAUUGAUGGGGUCAGCGCAAGCGAAGCUCCUGAUCGAAGCCCCGGUAAACGGCGGCCGUAACUAUAACGGUCCUAAGGUAGCGAAAUUCCUUGUCGGGUAAGUUCCGACCUGCACGAAUGGCGUAAUGAUGGCCAGGCUGUCUCCACCCGAGACUCAGUGAAAUUGAACUCGCUGUGAAGAUGCAGUGUACCCGCGGCAAGACGGAAAGACCCCGUGAACCUUUACUAUAGCUUGACACUGAACAUUGAGCCUUGAUGUGUAGGAUAGGUGGGAGGCUUUGAAGUGUGGACGCCAGUCUGCAUGGAGCCGACCUUGAAAUACCACCCUUUAAUGUUUGAUGUUCUAACGUGGACCCGUUACCCGGGUUGCGGACAGUGUCUGGUGGGUAGUUUGACUGGGGCGGUCUCCUCCUAAAGAGUAACGGAGGAGCACGAAGGUUGGCUAAUCCUGGUCGGACAUCAGGAGGUUAGUGCAAUGGCAUAAGCCAGCUUGACUGCGAGCGUGACGGCGCGAGCAGGUGCGAAAGCAGGUCAUAGUGAUCCGGUGGUUCUGAAUGGAAGGGCCAUCGCUCAACGGAUAAAAGGUACUCCGGGGAUAACAGGCUGAUACCGCCCAAGAGUUCAUAUCGACGGCGGUGUUUGGCACCUCGAUGUCGGCUCAUCACAUCCUGGGGCUGAAGUAGGUCCCAAGGGUAUGGCUGUUCGCCAUUUAAAGUGGUACGCGAGCUGGGUUUAGAACGUCGUGAGACAGUUCGGUCCCUAUCUGCCGUGGGCGCUGGAGAACUGAGGGGGGCUGCUCCUAGUACGAGAGGACCGGAGUGGACGCAUCACUGGUGUUCGGGUUGUCAUGCCAAUGGCACUGCCCGGUAGCUAAAUGCGGAAGAGAUAAGUGCUGAAAGCAUCUAAGCACGAAACUUGCCCCGA